rnacentral:rRNA from 1 species
GAUGAACGCUGGCGGCGUGCCUAAUACAUGCAAGUCGAGCGAACAGACGAUGAUCUUGCGGCUCGGACGUUAGCGGAGGGCGGGUGUGUAACACGUGUAAAACCUACCUAUAAUACGGGUAUAACUUCGGGAAACCGGAUCUAAUACGGUAGAAUAUAUUGAACCGUGUGGGUCAAUGGUGAAAUACGGCGUUGCGGGCUCUUAUAGAGGGAUCCGCGCCGCAUUAGCUAGUUGUUAAGGUAACGGCUUACCAAGGCAACGAUGCGUAGGCGACCUGAGAGAGUGAUCGGCGACACUGGAACUGAGACACGGUCCAGACUCCUACGGGAGGCAGCAGUAGGGAAUGUUCCGCAAUGGGCGAAAGCCUGACGGAGCAGCGCCGAGUGAGUGAUGAAGGUCUUCGGAUCGUAAAACUCUGUUAUUAGGGAAGAACAAAUGUGUACGUAACUAUGCACGUCUUGACGGUACCUAAUAAGAAAGCCACGGCUAACUACGUG